AGAGCGAACGCUGGCGGCAGGCCUAAUACAUGCAAGUCGAGCGGCCCUUCGGGGCAGCGGCGGACGGGUGAGUAACGCGUGGGAAUGUGCCCUUUGGUACGGAACAACUGAGGGAAACUUCAGCUAAUACCGUAUGUGCCCUUCGGGGGAAAGAUUUAUUGCCAUUGGAGCAGCCCGCGUUGGAUUAGCUAGUUGGUGGGGUAAAGGCCCACAAGGCGACGAUCCAUAGCUGGUCUGAGAGGAUGAUCAGCCACACUGGGACUGAGACACGGCCCAGACUCCUACGGGAGGCAGCAGUAGGGAAUCUGCGCAAUGGGACGAAAGCCUGACGCAGCCAUGCCGCGUAGAAUGAUGGAAGGUCUUAGGAUUAGUUAAAAUUCGUUACACCGGGGAAGAUAAGUCGAACGGUUACCGAGAAGAACGACCGCCCCUAA
rnacentral:rRNA from 1 species